AAGGCCUUAGCUUAAUUAAAGUCUUUGAUUUGCAUUCAAAAGAUGUGGGAUAAAGUCCCGCAGGCCUUA
rnacentral:tRNA from 1 species